GUGGUUUCCCACUAACCAUCCAAGCUCUGCCUCUUCCUCUCUCUUCUCCCUCUUCCUUUCAAGAGGGUACCAUGGAGGUAGCUCCAGUCAUGUAGUGUAGAAUCCAAAGCCAUUCUUGUGACUAGGAAGUAACGCAGGGCCUGUGGAAGAAAAGGGCGAGAGAAGACCAAUCAGCAAUACAAGAACCUGCUGAAUCUUCUGCUAUGGUCUGUUGGUAGAUACCAACAUUUGGGAGCUGGCAUUAUAUGGUGAGAGAAGAGGGAAGCAGAGAGGCACAGGCAUGCAUGCAGUUAUUGAUAUGAAAUGAAAGGCUUCGUAUCAGAAUUCUCAGUUCUGCAGCACACAGGGAUUGUGUAGUGAUGGUACUGAAGAACAAUAACCCUAAAAUGUUUAAGUGAAAAAGGACCACAGAAAACACUGAUGGAUUCUCCUUGAAGGCAGAGCACCUGCCUCAGAAUUCAGAAUAGCACACAAUAUUCAACCCGCUCUAAAGAAGCAGCAAAUAUUAUUCCUUUUCAUUUGUGGAGCAGAAAUCAAAGAUUCAAAGCUGUGACUCGCCACACUCCUAUACAUUCCUAUACAAAUCCCCCUGAGUACAUUGGGGAUUACUGCC